rnacentral:lncRNA from 1 species
GCCGUUUCAGAUAUUAAUUUCAAAGAAAUAUUACAGUUCCAUUUCAGCAGCCAUGCACAUCACAUAUUGUUUGUCCAUUCCAAGGAUUGUAGUCUCUUCCACAUGUUUCAAUGGUCAGCCGAAUUUUUACAGAGCACAAAUGACCCUAAUUAUUGAAAUCUUGUAGAAUUCUCUGUAAUACAGAAAACAAAGAUCCUUUCUUGUUGAGUAAGAAUCGUGCGUCUCUCUCUCCAAAUUUUUCAAUACAUUGCCGCAGCUAAUUAAUCCCAACGCUGCUGAACGUUACCUUUCUAUUUUUUUACUUUCAAACAGUCUAAAGAUCAUGAAAACCUAUAGGUCUCCCUCUCAGAUUAAACUGAAGUUUUAAGUGUAGUCCGGAGACUCUUCACAAAAGGGAAUCUAAAAAAUAGGUGACUACCUGAUUCGGUAUUUGCUCCACAUAGAGAACAGCCAGUGCUCACAUUCCAUCCCUUCUUUGCAAGCGCUUCUCCAGAAUAGCUUAUUUUCUUAAGCCAGCCAAAGAAAAACCGUUACCCUUUCCGGCAUAGGAGCCUUCCAAAUACUUCUUAUGUAUAGAUAUCUCAAAUCACUGAAGUUUAGGAAUGAAUAAAAUGAAUCCACAGUGAACAUACCAUUUUGUGUUAAUUUCCACACUGGCACAUUGGCGAUAUGAAAUGGUGUAAAAGGGGCAAGAAGGCCUUGCAAUGCCUCCAGCUGAGAGGGGUCUCUCUCAAAAAACAGUUGUUCACAUAAUGAAAGGCAUAGAACUUACAUAGUUGGUGAAAAAACCAAUGUAAUAACUGGCCGCAGAAGAAUUGUUUAAGUUCAACAUAAGUUGCACCGCAUACUGGUGAUUGGUAAAGAAUCCACUUUAGCCGGUGGUAAGGGCUAAUGAGAAUUGAUGGUCUUCUAAACUACGCCAGCUCUCUUUCUUAAUGACCAAAAGAUAAAUUAAAUUGUUAAAGAUAUGCACCGUUGGAAUGACUGAAACGAAAACUCAAACUCAGAAAUCAGUGAUCACAGGAUGCACUUCAUAAAUGUGCCUACCAAAAGCACAAAGGCGUGGACAAAAAGAUGAAUGACUGGAGCUCCUUAAACUCUUUCUAUUAGUAAUUACAGGAUUCACUUCACAGAUCUGCCUAUCAAAAGCACUAAGGCAUGGGCAGAAUACACUGAUCUAAUCCAAACAAAAGAUGGCAAUCACUAAAGCAACUUGCCAUAAUCAUCCAACAAGAUUUACUUGGAUAUGGAAAUCCAUUACAAACUAAAAGAACAAUUAAUGUUCUAUGCUAAACUAAAGCUCAGGGGCCAAGGUGUGGUCUAGGAGAACUAAAGACAGGUAAAUCUAACUGAAGUCUCAUUCAAAAAAAAAAAAAGUAAUUCAUCCAUGCAGAAAAGCCAAUGCAUCAUAAUCUGAAUGCAGUAAAUAACUUAGAAACUGCAGUUUCUUCCUUCAGAAUUUAAGAUUCCUAUACAUCCUGCUUCACUGAAUUCCACCAAUCACAAAAUUAAAACAGCUACCCGGCCUUAGACCUCUGGUCUAAAUUGCUUGGGCUGUUAACCGGCAUUUUUCACCCAAUCCUGAACCCAGAAUAGGGACAUGAAAAACCAUCCAUUCAUGACCAGGAAGUCUUAAUCAAUACAUCAACUUCUGUCACAGCUUAAAAAAAUAUUCUUGAAUGACUUGAGACAAAAGNNN